UACGUAGGUGACAAGCGUUGUCCGGAUUUACUGGGCGUAAAGAGCGCGCAGGCGGUCGAUCAAGUCGAGUGUGAAAGCCCCCGGCUCAACUGGGGAGGGUCAUUCGAAACUGGUCGACUCGAAGGCAGGAGAGGGUAGUGGAAUUCCCGGUGUAGUGGUGAAAUGCGUAGAUAUCGGGAGGAACACCAGUGGCGAAGGCGACUACCUGGCCUGUUCUUGACGCUGAGGCGCGAAAGCUAGGGGAGCAAACGGG
rnacentral:rRNA from 2 species